rnacentral:rRNA from 1 species
AGAGUUUGAUCAUGGCUCAGAACGAACGCUGGCGGCAUGCCUAACACAUGCAAGUCGAACGAAGCCUUCGGGCUUAGUGGCGCACGGGUGCGUAACGCGUGGGAAUCUGCCCUUGGGUUCGGAAUAACAGUUAGAAAUGACUGCUAAUACCGAAUGAUGUCUUCGGACCAAAGAUUUAUCGCCCAAGGAUGAGCCCGCGUCGGAUUAGCUAGUUGGUGAGGUAAAGGCUCACCAAGGCGACGAUCCGUAGCUGGUCUGAGAGGAUGAUCGGCCACACUGGGACUGAGACACGGCCCAGACUCCUACGGGAGGCAGCAGUGGGGAAUAUUGGACAAUGGGCGAAAGCCUGAUCCAGCAAUGCCGCGUGAGUGAUGAAGGCCUUAGGGUUGUAAAGCUCUUUUACCCGGGAUGAUAAUGACAGUACCGGGAGAAUAAGCCCCGGCUAACUCCGUG